UGGGGAAUAUUGGACAAUGGGCGAAAGCCUGAUCCAGCAAUACCGCGUGUAUGAAGAAGGCCUUCGGGUUGUAAAGCACUUUAAGUUGGGAAGAAAAAACUUUACCUAAUACGUGAAGUCUUGACGGUACCGACAGAAUAAGCACCGGCUAACUCUGUGCCAGCAGCCGCGGUAAUACAGAGGGUGCUAGCGUUAAUCGGAUUUACUGGGCGUAAAGCGUGCGUAGGUGGUUUGAUAAGUCGGUUGUGAAAGCCCCGGGCUCAACCUGGGAAUUGCGGCCGAUACUGUCAGACUCGAAAACGGUAGAGGGAGGUGGAACUCCAGGUGUAGCGGUGAAAUGCGUAGAUAUCUGGAAGAACAUCGAUGGCGAAGGCAGCCUCCUGGGCCUGUUUUGACACUGAGGCACGAAAGCGUGGGUAGCAAACA
rnacentral:rRNA from 1 species